AAACGUUCAACUGUAUAUUUUCCAAUAGCCAUGUCAAUUUCUUUACCACGGGCACGUUGGCUUUUACCUUUUCUUUUUUCGGAAAGAAAAUCUUUUUUCAGUAAAGUCGCAAGAUCACCCAUGUCAUCCACAAUUGCUUUAGGUUGUGGAUUGGCGUAGAACUGCACUCGUUCAGCAUGUACGUCUUUUUUACGCUUAACAAUUUCGGAAAUUGCAGGGAGAACAAGCGACAUAGCUGUUAAAUUCGUUAGCUUUUCCUGUAAAUCAUUGUAGAGAAUCCUCGCAGCCUCUAAGUUUUCAGAACUCGAUGCAACGCCUCCAACACCCAUUGCAU